AGCGAACGCUGGCGGCAGGCCUAACACAUGCAAGUCGAACGGGCGUAGCAAUACGUCAGUGGCAGACGGGUGAGUAACGCGUGGGAACGUACCUUUUGGUUCGGAACAACCCACGGGAAACUUGGGCGUAAUACCGGAUAAGCCCUUACGGGGAAAGGAUUUAUCGCCGAAAGAUCGGCCCGCGUCUGAUUAGCUAGUUGGUGUGGUAACGGCGCACCAAGGCGACGAUCAGUAGCUGGUCUGAGAGGAUGAUCAGCCACAUUGGGACUGAGACACGGCCCAAACUCCUACGGGAGGCAGCAGUGGGGAAGUAUUGGACAAUGGGCGGCAAGCCUGAUCCAGCCAUGCCGCGUGAGUGAUGAAGGCCCUA
rnacentral:rRNA from 1 species